GGAUUAAUAGUUAAUAUAUAAUAAGAGUUUUGUAAACUUUGGUAGGUGGUGUGCCUUAAUCUU
rnacentral:tRNA from 1 species